AUGGCUGACAGUAUCUCCUGGGACAACAGUAUCUCCAGGAACAACAGUAUCUCCAGGGAUGACAGUAUCUCCGGGGACAACAGUAUCUCCAGGGAUGGCAGUAUCUCCAGGCACAACAGCAUCUCCAGGGAUGACAGUAUCUCCAGGGAUGACAGUAUCUCCUGGGAUGACAGUAUCUCCAGGGACGACAGUAUCUCCAGGGAUGACAGUAUCUCCUGGGACGACAGUAUCUCCUGGGACGACAGUAUCUCCUGGGACGACAGUAUCUCCAGGGACAACAGUAUCUCCAGGGAUGACAGUACCUCCAGGGACAACAGCAUCUCCAGGGAUGACAGUAUCUCCAGGGACAACAGCAUCUCCAGGGAUGACAGUAUCUCUAGGGACAAUGCCUACAUCACCCUGCACCUGACGCCUGACCCCGAGAAGAUGCAGGAGUCACCUGGGCUAUGUGGCCCCCCUGGGGCAUACAAGGAAACUGAGACCCAGCAUACAGGCGAUGCCCUGGGUACAGGGACAGCAGAGCAGGGUGGGGACGGCAAGGAUGGGAAGGCAGUGUGCUGUGAUGGGCGCCUCAGUAUGGUGGUGGCUGAGGCUGUCUCCUCCCACACCCAGCAGCCUCUGAGCCUGUCCUCCCCAAAAGUCUUCCCCCUGGUGUCCUGUGAGAGCCCCCAGUCACAGAAGAGCACAGUGGCCCUGGGCUGCCUCGCACGGGACUUCCUGCCCGACACCAUCAGCUUCUCCUGGAACUACAAGAACAGCUCCUCGGUGAGCCGCAGCAAUGUCAAGACCUUCCCAACGGUCCACAGACAGGGCACGUACGCGGCCACCUCGCAGGUGCUGCUGCCCGAGAGUGUGCCCCAGAGCACUGACGAGCACCUGGUGUGCAAAGUGCUGCACGGCACCACCAACAAAGACGUGAUCGUGAACUUCCCAGUGUUCACAGUGCUGCGCCCCAAAGUGGACGUGCUCAUCCCGCCCUGCGAUUCCUCCUCCGGACCCAGCCAGCGCAAGACCAGGCUCAUCUGCCAGGCCACGGGUUUCAGCCCCAAACAGAUCACAGUGUCCUGGCUGCGCGAUGGAAAGCCAGUGGAGUCCGGCUUCACCACCAGCCAGGCGGAGGCUGAGGACAAAGGCUCUGGGCCCACGACCUUCAAGAUCACCAGCACACUGAUCGUCACCGAGAGUGACUGGCUCAGCCAGAGCACGUUCACCUGCCGCGUGGAUCACAGAGGCGGGACUGUCCUGAAGAACGUGUCCUCCACGUGCAGUGGUGGUCCGUCUCCAGACAUCCGCGUCUUCACCAUCACCCCCUCCUUCGCCAGCAUCUUCCUCAGCAAGUCGGCCAAGCUGGGCUGCCUGGUCACAGACCUGAGCACCUCUGACAGCCUGAACAUCUCCUGGACACGUCAGAAUGGCGAGGCUCUGGAAACGAACACCAGCAUCUCUGAGAGACACCCCAACAGCACCUUCAGUGCCGUGGGCGAGGCCAGCAUCUGCGAGGAUGACUGGAAGCCAGGGGAGAAGUUCACCUGCACCGUGACCCACACGGACCUGCCCGCACCCCUGAAGAAGACCGUCUCCAAGUCCACGGAGGUGACCCUGCACAAACCAGCCGUCUACGUGCUGCCACCAGCCCGGGAACAGCUGAACCUGCUGGAGGCGGCCACUGUCACCUGCCUGGUGACGGGCUUCUCUCCCUCGGACGUGUUUGUGCAAUGGGUGAAGAACGGGCAGCCCUUGACCCCGGACAACUACGUGACCAGCCCCCCAAUGCCCGAGCCCCAGGCUCCAGGCCGUUACCAUGUCCUCAGCACCCUGACCGUGACCGAGGAGGAGUGGAGCUCAGGGGCCCCCUUCACCUGCGUCGUGGGCCACGAGGCCCUGCCGUACAAGGUGAUCGAGAGGACCGUGGACAAGUCCACCGGUAAACCCACCCUGUACAACGUGUCCCUGAUCUUGUCCGACACGGCCAGCACCUGCUACUGACCAGGGGUGGUGGCCGGUCACUCUGUGUGUGUGUGUGCAAACUAACUGUGUCAACGGGGCAUGCUCUUGCAUUUUCUAAAGAUUAGAAAUAAAAAGAUCCAUUCAAAACA